rnacentral:rRNA from 1 species
AACGAACGCUGGCGGCAUGCCUAACACAUGCAAGUCGAACGAGACCUUCGGGUCUAGUGGCGCACGGGUGCGUAACGCGUGGGAAUCUGCCCUUGGGUUCGGAAUAACAGCGAGAAAUUGCUGCUAAUACCGGAUGAUGACGUAAGUCCAAAGAUUUAUCGCCCAAGGAUGAGCCCGCGUAGGAUUAGCUAGUUGGUGAGGUAAAGGCCUACCAAGCCGACGAUCCAUAGCUGGUUUGAGAGGAUGAUCAGCCACACUGGGACUGAGACACGGCCCAGACUCCUACGGGAGGCAGCAGUGGGGAAUCUUAGACAAUGGGGGAAACCCUGAUCUAGCCAUGCCGCGUGAUCGAUGAAGGCCUUAGGGUUGUAAAGAUCUUUCAGCGGGGAAGAUAAUGACGGUACCCACAGAAGAAGCCCCGGCUAACUCCGUGCCAGCAGCCGCGGUAAU